CCUACGGGAGUCAGCAGUGAGGAAUAUUGGUCAAUGGGCGCGAGCCUGAACCAGCCAAGUAGCGUGAAGGAUGACUGCCCUACGGGUUGUAAACUUCGUUUAUAAAGGAAUACAGUGAGUCACGUGUGCCUUUUUGUAUGUACUUUAUGAAUAAGGAUCGGCUAACUCCGUGCCAGCAGCCGCGGUAAUACGGAGGAUCCGAGCGUUAUCCGGAUUUAUUGUGUUUAAAGGGAGCGUAGAUGGGUUGUUAAGUCAGUUGUGAAAGUGUGCGGCUCAACCGUAAAAUGGCAAUUGAUACUGGCAGUCUUGAGUACAGUUGAGGUAGGCGGAAUUCGUGGUGUAGCGGUGAAAUGCUUAGAUAUCACGAAGAACUCCGAUUGCGAAGGCAGCUUACUAAACUGCCACUGACAUUGAUGCUCGAAAGUGUGGGUAUCAAACAGGAUUAGAUACCCCAGUAGUC
rnacentral:rRNA from 1 species